UUCCUAUCAAGGGCCAUGUCCUCGGAAACCCGCAUUCUAGCCAUGUCAUGCCUAAUCACCUCUCCCCAAUACCUCUUAGGCCUCCCUUUGCCUCGUCGUACGCCGACCAUCGCCAGCCGCUCACAACUCCUCACCGGGGCAUCAGGACUUCUCCUCCGCAUAUGCCCGAACUACCUCAGCCUCGCUUCUCGCAUUUUCUCAUCUACCGGGGCCACCCCCACCUUCUCUCGAAUAACUUCAUUCUUAAUCUAUCUAACCUGGUGAGCC
rnacentral:lncRNA from 1 species